GUUGUUAUUGUGUUCUAUGUAGUGUAUGUUUAGUGCGUCAAGUACAUAAUACUCUUUUAUAGUGUUAUGAUAAACAUUAAAUAUCAUCUGAGUAAAAUGUCUUGGCUAUAAUAUAUUAUUUUUUUGUGUAAAAACAAGAGAAACUUUACUCUCGACUUUUUUUGUGCUAAUGAUUUUCUAAAUGAUUAGAAUUUUUUUUUCUUUGAAUCAAACCUUCCAAACCUGGACUUUAACAUCAAUAUUCAAAGGAUGUUCAUUCCAAUCAGGAGAAUUGGUUCAUCAUGCACUCGAUAUUUUUUUAGUUUGCAAUGUGUCAGACAAUGUUAGGAUGUGUGUGUGUGGCACUGUGUGGUGAGUCUGUGUGUGUGUGACAAUACAGAGAAAAUAUAUUUUUUGGAAAUCUUUAAAUUAAGACUUACGAGAAUGUGUCUGCUAUAGAAAAAUAUCAUUAUAUAUACACAAUGUACUAUCUAAACAGACAAAAAUACAAUUGUUCAAUAAAUUCCUAACUACAA